AAUUUUAUAGUGUAUUACAACACAUUACAUUUUCGUUGUAAAAAUGAAACAAUUAUUUUUCUAAAAUUA
rnacentral:tRNA from 1 species